ACACAUGCAGUCGAACGAUGAAGUGGAGCUUGCUCCACGGAUUAGUGGCGAACGGGUGAGUAACACGUGAAUAACCUGCCCUCAAUUUCGGAAUAACCCAGGGAAACCUGGGCUAAUACCGGAUACGUAAACCUGUGGCAUCACAUGGUUUUGGAAAGUUUUUCGAUUGAGGAUGGAUUCGCGGCCUAUCAGCUUGUUGGUGAGGUAAUGGCUCACCAAGGCGACGACGGGUAGCCGGCCUGAGAGGGUGAACGGCCACACUGGGACUGAGACACGGCCCAGACUCCUACGGGAGGCAGCAGUGGGGAAUAUUGCGCAAUGGACGAAAGUCUGACGCAGCGACGCCUCGUGAGGGACGAAGGUCUUCGGAUUGUAAACCUCUUUCAGCAGGGACGAAGCGAAAGUGACGGUACCUGCAGAAGAAGCACCGGCUAACUAUGUGCCAGCAGCCGCGGUAAUACAUAGGGUGCAAGCGUUGUCCGGAUUUAUUGGGCGUAAAGAGUUCGUAGGCGGUUUUUCGCGUCGGAUGUGAAAACUCAGGGCUCAACCCUGAGCCUGCAUUCGAUACGGGAAGACUCGAGGACGGCAGGGGAGACUGGAACUUCUGGUGUAGCGGUGGAAUGCGCAGAUAUCAGAAAGAACACCAAUGGCGAAGGCAGGUCUCUGGGCCGAUCCUGACGCUGAGGAACGAAAGCGUGGG
rnacentral:rRNA from 1 species